rnacentral:rRNA from 1 species
UCGAGGGGCAGCAGCAGAGAACUUUAGUUCUCUGGCUGGCGACCGGCGAACGGGUGAGUAACACGUAGCUACUUGCCUCACAGUGGGGGAUAACCCGGGGAAACCCGGGCUAAUACCGCAUAUACCCGAGAGGGGAAAGGCCGAAAGGUCGCUGUGAGAUAGGGCUGCGGCGUAUCAGGUAGUUGGUGGGGUAACGGCCUACCAAGCCAAUGACGCGUAGCUGGUCUGAGAGGAUGAUCAGCCACACUGGAACUGAGACACGGUCCAGACUCCUACGGGAGGCAGCAGUGGGGAAUCUUGGGCAAUGGGGGAAACCCUGACCCAGCAACGCCGCGUGGAGGAAGAAGCCCUUCGGGGUGUAACUCCUUUUGCAGGGGAAGAGAAGAUGACGGUACCCUGCGAAUAAG